GAUGAACGCUGGCGGCGUGCCUAAUACAUGCAAGUCGAGCGAAUGGAUUAAGAGCUUGCUCUUAUGAAGUUAGCGGCGGACGGGUGAGUAACACGUGGGUAACCUGCCCAUAAGACUGGGAUAACUCCGGGAAACCGGGGCUAAUACCGGAUAACAUUUUGAACCGCAUGGUUCGAAAUUGAAAGGCGGCUUCGGCUGUCACUUAUGGAUGGACCCGCGUCGCAUUAGCUAGUUGGUGAGGUAACGGCUCACCAAGGCAACGAUGCGUAGCCGACCUGAGAGGGUGCUCGGCCACACUUGGACUGAGACACGGCCCAGACUCCUACGGGAGGCAGAAGUAGGGAAUCUUCCGCAAUGGACGAAAGUCUGACGGAGCAACGCCGCGUGAGUGAUGAAGGCUUUCGGGUCGUAAAACGCUGUUGUUAGGGAAGAACAAGUGCUAGUUGAAUAAGCUGGCACCUUGACGGUACCUAACCAGAAAGCCACGGCUAACUACGUGCCAGCCGCCGCAGUAA
rnacentral:rRNA from 1 species